rnacentral:lncRNA from 11 species
GCUAUUUUCACCACCUGCUAAUUACUUAGAGCUGGUUUGUGGGCGGAUUCAGCUUCACACAUCAGCCCACACAGGUUGUCAUUUUGUCAAAAAAUUCCAUCAUUAACAAUCUGUCAAUACACUGCCAACGGCUACCAUUUGAAUUUUGGAUUCGCAUUAGUGCAUACUACCCUGCUGCCAUGUUCCCUCCCACGACUGCCGUCCAUUUCCUGACAUUCUUCAAGUUUUCGAAAAGCAUUGGAAGGAAAGGCAAGAAGAAGAAAAAGAAGAAGAAGAAGAAGAAGAAGAAGAAGAAGAAGAAGAAGUCGUCACAAUUUGCUCCAACCUUUCAAAGAGCCAUUCUAAUGAAAUAUAAAGAGAGUCUGCAAGUCACACAGGUAGAUCCAGAUGAAGUUCGUCCUUUCCCUCUAAUUAAUAAGAUUAAUGCAGUUGCUGACAGGCUUUGCCACUGUGCCCUGCUUUCACUGUACCAUGGAAGUCAUAAUGAUUUGCCUACUAGACAGAUUUUUCAAGAUGAACAGCACAGCUACUCAAAUGAUCUGCGAAUAUACUUUGCCAGUGGCUUCUCUCAGGGGAUGCAGGAGAUGUAAACCAUACCAUGUGGCAUUAUAAGAAGGGAUGAUACUGCCUAUAAAAUAUAUCUACGAAACUAUGUUAAUUUAAUUUUUAAACCUUCAAAUGUGUUUGCAGGACAGUUAGAGCUGUCAAUAUUACGCUAAUACUGAUAUUUGGAAUCAUGUGAUUUCAUUUGUCUAUCCACACUAAAGGCUGUUGUUUUUGUUGUUGCUGGAUUUUUAUAGCCAUUGAUUUUAUCACAUAUUCUGGUAUUUUAGCUACCUCAGGAUCUUGUACAACAGGAGUCUAUGAGUUACCACACUGGUCAAUACCACCCUUGGGGUGACACUGCAUUAUGCUGUGUUUAUUUCUGUGAAGAGUGGUAUGAGUUGCACUCCAAUAUCUGGAAGUUCAUAUGUUUCGCUUUCAUUUUUCAAAAAACUACAGAAAAUGGGAACAUUGGAUAUUGGUGGCUUCCUU